GACGAACGCUGGCGGCGUGCUUAACACAUGCCAGUCGAACGCUGAAGCUCAGCUUUUGUUGGGUGGAUGAGUGGCGAACGGGUGAGUAACACGUGAGUAACCUGCCCCAUUCUUUGGGAUAACGCCAGGAAACGGGUGCUAAUACUGGAUAUUCACUGGUCUUCGCAUGGGGGUUGGUGGAAAGGGUUUUUCUGGUGGGGGAUGGGCUCGCGGCCUAUCAGCUUGUUGGUGGGGUGAUGGCCUAACAAAGCGUUGACGGUUAGGCGGCCUGAGAGGGUGACCGGUCACAUUGAGACUGAGAUACGGCCUAGACUCCUACGGGGGGCAGCAGUGGGGAAUAUGGCACAAUGGGCGAAAGCGUGAUGCAGCGACGCCGCGUGAGGGAUGGAGGCCUUCGGGUUGUGAUCCUCUUUCGCUAAUGGUCAAGCCGCAACAAUGGUUGUGGUGAGGGUAGUGGGUAAAGAAGCGCCGGCUAACUACGUG
rnacentral:rRNA from 1 species